rnacentral:rRNA from 1 species
GUGCCAGCAGCCGCGGCGGCUGACACGANGGGUGCAAGCGUUAAUCGGAAUUACUGGGCGUAAAGCGUGCGUAGAUNGUUCAUUAAGUCGGAUGUGAAAGCCCGGGCUCAANCUGGGAAUGCAUUCGAUACUCGUGGACUAGAGUGCGUAGAGGAUGGCGGAAUUCCCGGUGUAGCGGUCAAAUGCGUAGAGAUCCGGAGGAACAUCCGUGGCGAAGGCGGCCAUCUGGACCAGCNCUGACGUUGAGGCACGAAAGCGUGGGGAGCAANCAGGAUUAGAUACCCUGGUAAUNCACGCCCUAAACGAUGUCGACUGGAUGUUGGGCACACUUUGGUGUUCAGUAUCGAAGCUAACGCGUUAAGUCGACCGCCUGGGGAGUAUGNCGGCAAGCGUGAAACUCAAAUGAAUUGACGG